UCUGUAUAUCAUGGUAGUUGCCACAGCGGAUGCAUGUAUAUUAAGUUAUUAGUUUUUUUACAGCAUAUUAAAAGGCUGAAAUGUUGCCUUUAAAAUAUGUUUCUUGUUCUAAAAUCAUUUAGGGAGCACGAAAGCCAUCGGUGAUCAUUGUGUGUUAUGAGGUUGAUCUUUCGUAUCACUAAUUAGCCCCAAACCAAAGGUAUGUAGCUCAGGCAAUGCAUUUGUUGGGAGAACAAGCACAUCUGGCACAUCUGGAAAGAACUUCUCGAAGAACAACGGUGGAAAAAAAAUUGUAAGGUUGUGGUUGUGUGGAUAGGGGAGCUUCUUCUGUAGCAUUUAUCGACAACAAUGAACAGAGACCGUUGGAUACUUAACCUGUGAGAAUAAUUAUAGCACAUUUCUUCUGAUGUGGCUGGAAGAAACAUGAGAAAUGGCUCUUUUGAAGAAAAUUAACCGUGUCCUGCUCACGGUGCUUGUUCUUACGAUAUGUCUAAUCCUACACAGUAGACUAUUCAGAGAACCAUCCCAGCCCAAACUCACAUUUUCAGACGCUAAGAAGGUCCCAGUGCAUACGCAAAAGCUUCUUGUGGACAAGACUGCAGAAGGAAAAUAUGACAUCCCUGUGGUCAUCUGUGCUGCUGAGGAACGUAUGGGAGCUGCCAUGGCAACCAUCAACAGUAUCUAUAGCAACACGGAUUCCAGUGUGUUCUUCUAUAUCGUCACUCUGAGGGAUGCCAUUAAGCUGACAAGAGAGUACAUUCAGAAGACUAAACUGAGGGGCAUCAAGUAUAAGAUUGUGGAGUUCAACCCCAUGAUUCUGAAAGGGAAGGUGAAACCAGACUCAUCCAGACCCGAUUUGUUGCAUCCACUCAACUUUGUGCGCUUUUACCUGCCACUCCUCGAUAUUAGCCACAAAAAGGUGAUCUACGUGGACGACGACGUCAUAGUGCAAGGUGACAUCAAGGACCUUUACAAUAUAAAGCUUGAGAAAGGACAUGCUGCAGCUUUUGCCACAGACUGUGACCUGCCCUCAACCCACGAGAUGGUGCGCAGUGUGGCCAUGCAGACGACAUAUAUGGGAUUCCUAGACUACAGGAAAAAGGAAGUGAGAGACCUGGGCAUCAACCCUAGUGACUGCUCCUUCAACCCGGGGGUGUUUGUAGCCGACGUCCCAGAGUGGAAGAAACAGAAGAUCACCAAACAGCUGGAGAAAUGGAUGCAGGAGAACUUCAAUCAAAACAUAUACAGCAGCGCCAUGGCCGGGGGCGUGGCCACUCCACCCAUGCUGAUCGUGUUUCACGACAAGUACACGGUCAUCGACCCCCUUUGGCACGUCCGACACCUGGGUUGGAGCCCAGACACCCGCUACUCUGAGGCCUUCCUCCAGGGGGCGCACCUGCUGCACUGGAACGGACGCUUCAAGCCCUGGGACUAUCCGUGUGUCCACCUGGACCGCUGGGAAAAGUGGUUCAUCCCAGACCCCAAUGGGAGGUUCUUGUUGGUUCGACCCAAGGGUCUAAUCUGAGGAAUGUUUAAGAACAUACCAUGCAAGACUGGUGUGUAGGCUGAUAUCUGCCAUUGCAGAGUGAAUGAAGUUGUGAACAGUUAUUGUGAAGAAAGGCUCUUUCUGAUAAUUUUGCUGUAUUAACAUCUUUUGAUGGCCACCAAGGGCUUGUUUUCCUUUAUCUAGUAUUUUCAAUGAAAAAAUAUGAGCUGUACCAAACAGGGUCUGUUUUCAUUUUGUGAUGCCCAAUUUGUUCUCAUUACCAUACCUCUUUGCAGCAACUCCCAGCGGGCUGAGGGUAGUCGAUUAGAACAUGCCAAGUACAUCCGUCUGAGCCCUUCUUGUUCUUUUCACACUGCUUGAUCGACGUGGAACUUUCUGCCAAAACAUACGUGCUGGGAGCGUCCUCCAGCCAAUAACUACAACUGAGCUUACAGGCUCCAUACCCACUACAAAGAGUCCCCAGUGAGAGUGACGAGGUCAAGCCAUCCGGUCCAAUAUCCCCUCUACUCACACCAGUGCUGAGCCCAUUCACACCUCCCUUGCUUGUAAUGCUGCAAUCAAGAUUCAAACUCCUCACUGCAGGGCUGUGACCAAGACCACUGGAACAUUGGGGAUGGACGUGGUUGUUUUGAUGAGUAAAAAUAACUGACUGGGCUUAUAAAGAAUAGACACAAUGACAGUUCUGCGCUAGACACCCCCUCAAUCUUACCGAAUCGUCAUCUUCC